CCUACUUGGAUAACUGUGGUAAU
rnacentral:piRNA from 2 species